rnacentral:rRNA from 1 species
GACGAACGCUGGCGGCGUGCCUAAUACAUACAAGUCGAACGAAGCCUUCGGGCUUAGUGGCGAACGGGUGAGUAACACGUUGGUACCUACCCUCUAGUGGGGAAUAACUGGCCGAAAGGUCGGCUAAUACCGCAUAAUACCGCAAGGUUAAAGCAGCAAUGCGCUAGAGGAGGGGCCUGCGUCCCAUUAGCUUGUUGGUAGUGUAAUGGACUACCAAGGCGACGAUGGGUAGCUGGAUCGAGAGGUUGACCAGCCACACUGGGACUGAGAUACGGCCCAGACUCCUACGGGAGGCAGCAGUAAGGAAUCUUCCACAAUGGACGAAAGUCUGAUGGAGCAACGCCGCGUGCAGGAUGACGGCCUUCGGGUUGUAAACUGCUUUUAUAUGGGAAGAUUAUGACGGUACCAUAUGAAUAAGGACCGGCUAACUACGUGCCAGCAGCCGCAGUAA